UACUGCAGUGAGUUCUAUGAAGC
rnacentral:miRNA from 1 species